ensembl:lncRNA
UGGUGGGAACGACAGGUGUUGAUUUCAGAAAAUAAAAGUUAGGCCAGGCUUCUACUGCUGCCUAAAAGUAAAGUCUAAAUUCUCCACUGGGCUACUGCAUAUUGUCGACUUAUCAAUGGAGAGACAUCCGAUAACCAAUAGGCUUACUCGGAGAACUCCCAUCAGUCUUUAAUGACACACAACGCAGCGCUGUUGAUGUAGGCCUACUGGUCCACAGUGUAGAAUUUCGUAAUGGAAUGCGAGGUGCUCAUCUGGAUCUGUUCUCCUUCCUGUCCUCCUAAACAGAACAUCCCUGCAUUUGCUGCCCCCACUACUUAUCUGGUACUUUUAAAAGUUUGAUGUCUAAAGGAAAACCUAACGCCCCGCAAUGGAAAUGAGUGUAGACAAUAAACAAAAUCACCCCUUACUCGAUAUUCAGCAUACGUUAUGCAACACACGAAGCGAGUUGGCCUCGCCACGUUUACCUAAAGAAGGGUGUUGCAGUGCACUGCUCGUGCGCAAAUUAAGCGCCUCACCGGCAACGCGAGAGGCGCCGCAAAAGGGCGAGAGGAAAAAAAAAAUGCCUAGCAACCAUUAUCUAAUAGCUCGAGCUAUGUGGCUGUUAACGUUACCCCAGAGACCAAAAAGCCAUCCAUUCCUCCAGUCCACUGCGCUACUUAUACCUCCUUAUUAGUUACAAAAAAUGUGUAAAACACAGGAAAUUGCCUACGCGUCGUAUUUAAACGUCAACUGUUCAAAUUAGGCUAUAAGAUGGUGAUGCGGAACGUGUCCUCAUAGAAGUUUAUAAAACAAGUUGUAGUGUGAUGUCCGUCCGAUUUACAAUUAUCAAUUUAACCAUAUGGCAUAUACUUUUCCUAUAGACAACAUAAAUGCAAUGUAACACGGAUGCCAAAGUAUUGACACCAUGUUAACAUAAGAUGAUGCGGCUUUAAGGGGGCGAGAAGGACGUUAGGUUGACAAAACAAGUUAAACUAUGCUGUACAAACAGAAUGCAUCCAAAUAACAACUAUCCACCCCAGAGAUUUUGCUUUAAAAAAAGAAAUGUCUGGUCAAGGUCAAAAUGUAGAAACUCUACGCAUGUCAACUAGCCAGCUAAGUUGUUGCUUCGAUCAAAGUGCACGAAGAUAUGGAUGCUCCGUGCAGCACUAGCAGCUAGUUAGCUAGCGAUAGACUUUGAACCCUCAGUUGCAGCUCCCAUCACAAACUUACAGGAAGCGCAACAGUUUAAAUCGGCGUUUACAACUCCGACCAACCAACUCGAUAAAAUAACAUAAGAAACGGCAAUAUCCGUGUGAGAAAACAUCGUGACAAAUUCCUGUGCUUGUCUUCUUCUCUUCUUUGACCAGUGAGCAUCGUCCUCAGAAAAAAAAAAAAAACUAGGAAGCAAGCAAACAGGAGUUGAGAAAACUCCCUACCAUCACUUCGCUUGUACCUCAGUCAAAACUCUGUCAUCACUUCAUUGCCCCAUUAUUAGUACAACAAAAUACAUGUUCAAUUUCGGCAGAUAACCAAAUAAGCGAUUUAAAAGAGUAAUCCGAGAGCGACUUACGUCUGACUUUGUUGGGGUUGGGCUGCUUACGCCGAGACAUACUGAUGAUGAUAUCGUUAGCCGAAGACCAUGAAAUAAAUCGACGCAAGAGAGGAAGACACUUUCCUCGCCCGUCCUCAAAGCGCCGUUCUCUGCCCCUAAACCUGAUAAGACCUUGUCAGCAGUGAAAUGGCAUUCUUUUGGAAUUGGAUUCUCCUGAAUUGUUCCUGUAGCAGGCAGGCCUCUUUCUAGAAGCUUGAUGCUGAUGAAAUACCGGUAAGAGUACACCAGUGUUCCUCUGGGAACCGUCACUCCAUUUGCACUUGCACCCAUUUGAAGGUGUCCUUACCCUGGCAGGUCUCGAAGUCCCUGGCAGGUCUCGAAGUUGGAUUUGGUUUGCCAGGAACAUGUUGUCAUGCCCGGCUCACAGGCAUGCCAAAUAAAAGAGAGUCACACAGGAUUUAACGCCAAACAGUAUGCUUUUAUUUAGCGACUAGGGUAUAGUACCAGGCCAGACUACGGUGAGAUGGGGCAGUCAGUGAGUCAGUAAGGUUGUAGUGUAUGUGUGCAUGCUAGGGCAGUAGAUGGAAUGUUGUAUCUCAGCAGGUAC